rnacentral:rRNA from 1 species
GACGAACGCUGGCGGCGUGCUUAACACAUGCAAGUCGAACGGCAAGGCCCUGCUUUUGUGGGGUGCUCGAGUGGCGAACGGGUGAGUAACACGUGAGUAACCUGCCCUUGACUUUGGGAUAACUUAAGGAAACUGAGGCUAAUACCGGAUAGGAGCUCCUGCUGCAUGGUGGGGGUUGGAAAGUUUCGGCGGUUGGGGAUGGACUCGCGGCUUAUCAGCUUGUUGGUGGGGUAGUGGCUUACCAAGGCUUUGACGGGUAGCCGGCCUGAGAGGGUGACCGGCCACAGUGGGACUGAGAUACGGCCCAGACUCCUACGGGAGGCAGCAGUGGAGAAUAUUGCACAAUGGGCGGAAGCGUGAUGCAGCAACGCCGCGUGCGGGAUGACGGCCGUCGGGUUGUAAACCGCGUUCGCUUGUGACGAGGCGUGAGUGACGGUAAUGGGGAAAGAAGCACCGGCUAACUACGU